rnacentral:rRNA from 1 species
GCCUGGAGAUGAGCUCGCGUCUGAUUAGCUAGUUGGUGUGGUAAAAGCAUACCAAGGCAACGAUCAGUAGCUGGUCUGAGAGGAUGAGCAGCCACACUGGGACUGAGACACGGCCCAGACUCCUACGGGAGGCAGCAGUGGGGAAUUUUCCGCAAUGGGCGAAAGCCUGACGGAGCAAAACCGCGUGGGGGAGGAAGGCUCUAGGGUUGUAAACCCCUUUUCUUUGUGUGGAAUAAUUUCUGAACGAAAAGAAGCAACCUCGGCGAACUCCCUGCCACCAGCCGCGGUCAUACGGAGGAGGCAAGCCUUUUCCGGAAUGAUUGGGCGUAAAGCGUCCGCAGGUGGCCAUGUAAGUCUGCUGUCAAAACCCAGGGCUCAACUCUGGUCAGGCAGUGGAAACUACCUAGCUUGAGUCUGGUAGGGGCAAAGGGAAUUCCCGGUGUAGCGGUGAAAUGCGUAGAGAUCGGGAAGAACAUCGGUGGCGAAAGCGCUUUGCUAGACCAGAACUGACACUCAUGGACGAAAG